rnacentral:rRNA from 1 species
ACGAACGCUGGCGGCGUGCUUAACACCUGCAAGUCGAACGGAAAGGCCCUGCUUUUGUGGGGUGCUCGAGUGGCGAACGGGUGAGUAACACGUUAGUAACCUGCCCUUGACUUUGGGAUAACUUCAGGAAACUGGGGCUAAUACCGGAUAGGAGCUCCUGCUGCAUGGUGGGGGUUGGAAAGUUUCGGCGGUUGGGGAUGGACUCGCGGCUUAUCAGCUUGUUGGUGGGGUAGUGGCUUACCAAGGCUUUGACGGGUAGCCGGCCUGAGAGGGUGACCGGCCACAUUGGGACUGAGCUACGGCACAGACUCCUACGGGAGGCAGCAGUGGGGAAUAUUGCACAAUGGGCGGAAGCCUGAUGCAGCAACGCCGCGUGCGGGAUGACGGCCUUCGGGUUGUAAACCGCUUUCGCCUGUGACGAAGCGUGAGUGACGGUAAUGGGUAAAGAAGCACCGGCUAACUACGUG